rnacentral:rRNA from 1 species
GACGAACGCUGGCGGCGUGCUUAACACAUGCAAGUGGAGCGACGAACCAGGUUUUCGGGCCUGGGGCAGAGCCGCGAACGGGUGAGUAACACGUGGGUAACCUGCCCUGACGAUCGGGACAACCCGGGGAAACCCGGGCUAAUACCGAAUGUGCCCGCGAGCCAGAAGGCUUGCGAGGAAAGGAAGCUUCGGCCUCCGCAUCGGGAUGGGCCCGCGGCCCAUUAGCUUGUUGGUGGGGUAACGGCCUACCAAGGCAGCAAUGGGUAGCUGGUCUGAGAGGACGAUCAGCCACACUGGGACUGAGACACGGCCCAGACUCCUACGGGAGGUAGCGGUGGGGAAUCUUGCGCAAUGCGCGAAAGCGUGACGCAGCAACGCCGCGUGGGGGAAGACGGCCUCGGUU